CAAGCUGGACCACUGCAGGGCCCCUGCUGUCCCCAAACGGCUUCUCCGCUUUGAUGGGCUGUGGCUGCCCUUCACUCACCAGGCUCUGGUCUCCUUUGGCUGACAGCGGGGCCUCGACGCUGCUCGUGGAUGGGCUCCUUGGGGCCAGGUGAGGGUUGAGGUCAAAGAUGAGCUGGAGAUCCACCUGCUUGCCCUUGUUGGUCCCUUUCUCGAUCCACUCAACAGUGAUGCUGGAGGUGCUUUCAUGAAGCUCUGUCACCAGCGCUGGAUGGAUGCGCCCAUCGCUGCGCUUGAUCUCCACGUAGGUGCCCAGCUGGAUGAGCCCGAACUCCCCGGCCAUGCUGUCUCUGGGCACUGGCCACAGCCGUGGAGUGGAGGAGCCCCUGGCUGGGACAGGCAGGGCUGGAGUCCCCUGGGGCUCUGUGUUCCAACGCCCAGUGUCCUGUCACAAUGGCCCUCAUGGCUACAGAACCGGCUUGAACAUAUAUGUGUUUUUAACCAGCUUCUAUGGCUAGAAGGAACAUAUAAAGCUGCCACCACCCGAAAAGGCCUAUUUGAGUAUCCAAGCUGGCACACAGCUGCUGUGACACAUCGUGUCCAAUUAGAUGCAAUACCUUGUUGCUGUCAAAGACAUUGAGAUCCUUACGUGAGGGAUAGCCCAGCUCCAUCUGAUUAUUUGUCCUUGCAUCUUUAAGAAAUAUUUGCAUAGGGCUACUUUAUAAUUCCAGUAAGACACCCAAGCCUGUGAAUUAUAGUGCAGUAAUUCACACCUGCUGCAUUUAACAGCACUCGGCCUUCUGCCUUUCUCUAACAGUACCUUCUUGUGAAUUAUUGCUCCAUAAGUCACCCCCAGGAGCAUCUUGCUCCCUCAUCAUGUUGGCAUCUAAUUGCAGCAGUUCUCUGGUGUGAUUUUGUACAUGAGAGUUAAUAUUUAUACAAGUGCAUCACAUAGAGUAUGAUUUUUAGAAAGCCUGUACUUGGCUUGAGAUUGCAUGUUUUAAACCCUGACAACUACUAAUGGUUUUGAUGGCUAUGCAUUUUCAGCAAGCUUUUAUCAUCAAACACAAAUGAGGAAAACAAGAGAUUAGACCAACACAGUGAUCAAUUAACCAGUAAUUCAAAGGAAUGUAAAAGUGUAAUUUAAACUGUAAAAUCCUCUUCCUGAACUACAAGGGUGCCUGUAUAUACACAUGUUACCUUAGAGAGGUGUUUAAGUCCUUGACAAAUGUGGAAUGUCACAGCCAGAGCCCUAACCUGAUGUCCCAGGCGCCCUGUGACACCAGAGCAGCUUCGCAUGCCAACCCAAACGUUUGGAGACACCAAAGCCCCUUCCACUUCUCCCAGCCAAGUGCCAUCUUAAAUCAGGACUCAAAGGAAGAGGACACUGUGAGGUUAAUUUUGUCUGUUUUCAUAUCUCAAGUAGCAAAUUAACUGGAACUGCUGCUUUAGUGCUCCAAUUUCCCUGCAGUGUCCUGGAGAAGAAAAGCAUGCAUCUGGCAGAAAAGGCUGAAUUCUUAUCACGGUAGUAAAUAGUCAUCCCCAUAAUAUGGCAAAAAGUUCAUGCUGGAUUAGAAUUGAAGAAUCAUCAAAAGGAAAUUUUGCUACAGAGCUGAAUGCUACAGUGUAAUCAAGAUUCACGUCCUCAGGUAUUUUUAGAAAGGUUAUUUACUGACCAGCAUUAAGGCAGCAUCUAAAGGCCUUACAUCAGGACUCUGUUGUGCUAAGCAGCAUGUAAAUAUUUCCAGAGAAAGACAAUUUUUCUUCGGUGUGUUUUUUGCUGGGGUUAUAGGCAGUAAUUUCAAAGUGGAGAGGAAGGGAAAGGAAGAGGAUGGUGUCUCUUGGGAGGAGAGGGGAUCAGCCUUUUUCCAGAGUCUUUAAAGCUUUUGUUUAUCUACACAGAAGCCCUGAAACAAACGCUAAUACAUACUGUGCAGCAGCUUAAAAACUUGUAACUUAUUCAAACACCCUUCAAAUAAUUUGCAAACAUACAUGAGGUUUUUUGUUUGUACUUUAUAAAAUACUACCACAUUACAAAAGAAAGUAAAGGAUUUGCUGCUGCUAUGAGUCAUCAGAGAAUAAAUGCAAUGUGCAGCAGCAAAGAUACAUAACGCGUGGCCUGCUAAAAGAAGAUGCUUUAGUAUCACAGGAUGUAAAAAACGUCCCACAUUUCUUCUGUUGCUUUUCCACUGCUACCCAGCUAACUGUCAGCUCGCCCUACGUGCAAAAAGCUGUGGUCACAACCCUCCACAUUAAUACAGACAACCAGUCCUUCCUGCCAAAAAACAGCAUUCAGAUGAAACGUGAUGAGGCAAACAACAGUUUGUAUUUCACACUUCAUGGGAGCUGUACGGAUGCUCAGAUCUGCCCACACAAGCUUCAUGCAAGACCAAGAUCCGAAUCAUAAUUUAUAAAAAAGAAAAAAAGAAACCGAGUGAAAAUACACGCACAAAAAAACCCCAAGCCUUCAUAAGGGAAACAACUGCUGUUCUUCAAGUGGGGAAGCACAGAUGGGGCCUACCAUACCGAGGAGCCUAAAGGACUUGCAUCCUUCUGUGGAGAAGUGGGACCACUGCCAACUCCUCACAUUUCUAAUAGAGCUAAACUGUGCUCCUCUGAGCAAUGGAAACAACUUUCAUUCAUCUUAUGAAGUAAAAAAAAAAAAAAAAGAUAAUUAUUGGUGUCAUUAUAAAAGAGGAUAAAUUCCAGCAAACUCAAUGAAAGUUGUGGAUUACAAUGAGUUACUAAAAACAAUGAAAGCAGUAUAUUCUCUUCUCAAUGUUUUAAUGGGACACAGUCAAUUUUUAUUAUCAUGUAUUUACUAGUCUUCCCAGCAGAAAACAGUAUUUAAAAUUAAUGUAACUAAUCUGAAAAUCAGAGUGAAUACUGCUAAUUCACACAGCGGUUUAGUUAGGCCUAAUUCAUUUCAUAGCUAGAAACAUUCUGCGAAUGUUUAAUACAUGGAGAAGCUUUUAGUAACAAACUCCAAUUACUGAAUCCUUCUGACUAUCUUCGACUGGCUGAACGUGUAAACAGUCUUGUACUUAAAUGCUCCAAGAUCCCCUGUACAAGACUUUCAUUAAAAAAAAACUUAGGGAGCUCUGCAGUUGUGUAAUUGUUUUAAGCCUUAGCAUUUCAAAGGACUUAACCAAUGUUAAUUAAAAUCUGAUCCUACUCUAAGAGAUGGUUUUCAUUCGUUACCUGGAUCUACGACUCUGAGCCCUCCUCCCUGCAGUCAGGUACCAGGUCUGUGCUAAGCUCCAGCAA
rnacentral:lncRNA from 1 species